ensembl:snRNA U6 U6 spliceosomal RNA
GUGCUCGCUUCAGCUGCUCAUAUACUAAAAUUGGAACGAUACAGAGAAGAUAGCAUGGCCCCUGAGCAAAGGGGGCUUCAUGCAAAUUCAUGAAGCAUUCCAUAUUUUU